rnacentral:rRNA from 1 species
CAGCCGUAAACUAUGCUCGUUAGGUGUAUCGGUGACCACGAGUUACCGAGGUGCCGAAGGGAAACCGUGAAACGUGCCGCCUGGGAAGUACGGUCGCAAGGCUGAAACUUAAAGGAAUUGGCGGGGGGAGCACCACAACAGGUGGAGCCUGCGGUUUAAUUGGACUCAACGCCGGGAAGCUCACCGGAUAGGACAGCAGAAUGAUUGCCGGGCUGAAGACCCUGCAUGACUAGCUGAGAGGAGGUGCAUGGCGUAGACGUCU